rnacentral:rRNA from 1 species
AUUGAACGCUGGCGGCAGGCUUAACACAUGCAAGUCGAGCGGAGAUGAGGUGCUUGCACCUUAUCUUAGCGGCGGCAGGGUGAGUAAUGCUUAGGAAUCUGCCAUUUAGUGGGGGACAACAUUCCGAAAGGAAUGCUAAUACCGCAUACGUACUACGGGAGAAAGCAGGGGAUCUUCGGACCUUGCGCUAAAUGAUGAGCCUAAGUCGGAUUAGCUAGUUGGUGGGGUAAAGGCCUACCAAGGGGACGAUCUGGGGCGGGUCUGAGAGGAUGAGCCGCCACACUGGGACUGGGACACGGCCCAGACUCCUACGGGAGGCAGCAGUGGGGAAUAUUGGACAAUGGGCGGAAGCCUGAUCCAGCCAUGCCGCGUGUGGGAAGGAGGCCUUUUGGUUGGAAAGCACUUUAAGCGAGGAGGAGGCUACUAGUACUAAUACUACUGGAUAGUUGACGUUACUCGCAGAAUAAGCACCGGCUAACUCUGUGCCAGCAGCCGCCGUAAGAC